UACGUAGGGGGCCAGCGUUGUCCGGACUUACUGGGCGUAAAGCGCGCGCAGGCGGACAAGUAUGUGCCGUGUGAAAGCGCCGGACUUCCUCCGGUGAGGUCAUGGUAGACAGCUUGUCUUGAGGCUCAGAGGAGGUCGGUGGAAUUCCGGGUGGAGCGGUGAAAUGCGUAGAGAUCCGGAGGAACACCAGGGGCGAAAGCGGCCGACUGGCUGAGUACUGACGCUGAGGCGCGACGGCGUGGGGAGCAAACCGG
rnacentral:rRNA from 1 species